rnacentral:lncRNA from 1 species
GGAACUCUCUAACAGAAGAAAAAUUAUAUACAAUAUUUUCUAAUUUAUUUCAUCUUAAAAAUCUUCUCUAUGAUGCAUUAGUAACAUUGAACUAGGGUUCUAAGGAACAAACUGUGAAAAUUUCCAAUGUGCCUAGCAAAACAAGGAAAAGGAGCAAAGAAGUAAAUUAGAAAUAUGAAAAUUAAUUUAAUUUGGUGUCCCCAUAGGCUUUACCUAUUAUGAUGUGAUUUUAAGUUCUUUAUAAAUGACCAUAAUUUUCUAAAUGAAACUAAGUUAACCUACACUGAAAUGGCUUUAGGGAUAUUGAUCACUGUUUUAAAGAGAGUACCUGCCCCCUGCACAUGGACUGUGAUUUAAAAGUCUGUGUCUUGUCCCUAAGAAAACAAAAUCUAAUAUAAUAAUCAUAUAUAAAUCAUGAACAAAAAUGUUUCCAAAUUGCUGUCAACAAG